UACGUAGGGACCAAGCGUUGUUCGGAUUUACUGGGCGUAAAGGGCGCGUAGGCGGCUCUGUAAGUCACUUGUGAAAUCUCUGAGCUUAACUCAGAACGGCCAAGUGAUACUGCAGUGCUAGAGUGCGGAAGGGGCAAUCGGAAUUCUUGGUGUAGCGGUGAAAUGCGUAGAUAUCAAGAGGAACACCUGAGGUGAAGACGGGUUGCUGGGCCGACACUGACGCUGACAGCGCGAAAGCCAGGGGAGCAAACGGG
rnacentral:rRNA from 1 species